UACCCGCAGCACAAGUGGUGGUCAUUAUUAUUGGGCCUAAAGCGUCCGUAGCUGGCUUGUUAGAUGCCUGGGUAAAUCGAUGCGCUCAACGUAUCGACUUCCGGGUAGACCGGCAAGCUCGAGACCGGGAGAGGUGUAGGCUACUCGAGGGGUAGGGGUAAAAUCCUGUAAUCCUUCGGGGAGACCAGUGGCGAAGGCGCUACACUAGAACGGCUCUGACAGUGAGGGACGAAGCCCUGGGGCGCAAACCGG
rnacentral:rRNA from 1 species